UAAGUUCAGAGGCUGCAAGUUGCUAGGUUAUUGUGAGAGUGUAAACACUUGGGUUGGGGAUUAUAAGCUUGAUCAUCAUAAGCUUAUCAAACACUUUGGGAAGUGAGGUUCGUUAGUAUCUCGGUUGUGGUUAGAUUGGUCUUUCAAGUCUUUGAGGAAAUCUAAGCUCUUGAGCACAUAAGUUUUGGAGUGUUCCAAAAAGUCCCAACUCAGUCCACAUAUCCCGGUAACUUUGGAAAAUAAGCUUUAGAGGCGGUAAGAUUCGUGACGCUUAGAGGAUGUGUAUCGAUGGUGGAUGGAGUCAAGGAGCCGAGCGUUAUUCGAUUCGAGGAUGUAGUCUUGUUUAUGUUUUUAUGGUUUUAAAUGUAUUUUCCACAUUUUCUAUGUAACUCUUUUUACUUUAAGUUAUUUUUGUUUUAAAGACAAUGGGUACCCAUAUCCUAUUUAUUUUAUGAAAGUAACCUUUGUUUCUACAAGUUUCUAAUAAAGUAUGGUAUUUCCGCAAAAA